ACGGGUGAGUAACGCGUGGGAAUCUACCGUACCCUACGGAAUAGCUCUGGGAAACUGGAAGUAAUACCGUAUACGCCCGGAAGGGGAAAGAUUUAUCGGGGUAUGAUGAGCCCGCGUUGGAUUAGCUAGUUGGUGGGGUAAAGGCCUACCAAGGCGACGAUCCAUAGCUGGUCUGAGAGGAUGAUCAGCCACAUUGGGACUGAGACACGGCCCAAACUCCUACGGGAGGCAGCAGUGGGGAAUAUUGGACAAUGGGGGCAACCCUGAUCCAGCCAUGCCGCGUGAGUGAUGAAGGUCUUAGGAUUGUAAAGCUCUUUCACCGAUGAAGAUAAUGACGGUAGUCGGAGAAGAAGCCCCGGCAAACUUCGUGCCAGCAGCCGCGGUAAUACGAAGGGGGCUAGCGUUGUUCGGAAUUACUGGGCGUAAAGCGCACGUAGGCGGAUAAUUAAGUCAGGGGUGAAAUCCCGCAGCUCAACUGCGGAACUGCCUUUGAUACUGGUUAUCUUGAGUAUGGAAGAGGUAAGUGGAAUUGCGAGUGUAGAGGUGAAAUUCGUAGA
rnacentral:rRNA from 1 species